rnacentral:rRNA from 1 species
UGGGGAAUAUUGGACAAUGGGCGCAAGCCUGAUCCAGCCAUGCCGCGUGAGUGAUGAAGGCCCUAGGGUUGUAAAGCUCUUUCACCGGUGAAGAUAAUGACGGUAACCGGAGAAGAAGCCCCGGCUAACUUCGUGCCAGCAGCCGCGGUAAUACGAAGGGGGCUAGCGUUGUUCGGAUUUACUGGGCGUAAAGCGCACGUAGGCGGACUUUUAAGUCAGGGGUGAAAUCCCGGGGCUCAACCCCGGAACUGCCUUUGAUACUGGAAGUCUUGAGUAUGGUAGAGGUGAGUGGAAUUCCGAGUGUAGAGGUGAAAUUCGUAGAUAUUCGGAGGAACACCAGUGGCGAAGGCGGCUCACUGGACCAUUACUGACGCUAAGGUGCGAAAGCGGGGGGAGCAAACAGG